ACAAAGAAGUGAAAGCAAGAGCUGUCCAAGAAUGCUCCUCACAACAAAGGAGCCUAAAUGAUCAAUGUGAUCAACCCUUUCCUAUACGUCCACCUGUUACCACACAGUCACACUUAUUUGAGAAUUAGAAGUACGAUGACAACAUUCAUCCCAAGGAUGCUACACUAUAUUAUGCAUUCAGAAGCAAAUGCUGCGAGUCGAUUAUGGUGGUAAACUUACGCAUACGUAACAGUUUAUACUAGCCACUGGGUCUCUUUAAGGCAAUGGAAAGGAGUAUGGAAAGGCAAUGACGGGGAGGUGCGACUACACGGGGCAUAGUUUAAAAGCAAUGCGCGUGUCCAAUGAAAAUUUUUGAUAUUAAUUU
rnacentral:lncRNA from 1 species